GACGAACGCUGGCGGCGUGCUUAACACAUGCAAGUCGAACGGAAAGGCCCUGCUUUUGUGGGGUGCUCGAGUGGCGAACGGGUGAGUAACACGUGAGUAACCUGCCCUUGACUUUGGGAUAACUUCAGGAAACUGGGGCUAAUACCGGAUAGGAGCUCCUGCUGCAUGGUGGGGGUUGGAAAGUUUCGGCGGUUGGGGAUGGACUCGCGGCUUAUCAGCUUGUUGGUGGGGUAGUGGCUUACCAAGGCUUUGACGGGUGGCCGGCCUGAGAGGGUGACCGGCCACAUUGGGACUGAGAUACGGCCCAGACUCCUACGGGAGGCAGCAGUGGGGAAUAUUGCACAAUGGGCGGAAGCCUGAUGCAGCAACGCCGCGUGCGGGAUGACGGCCUUCGGGUUGUAAACCGCUUUCGCCUGUGACGAGGCGUGAGUGACGGUAAUGGGUAAAGAAGCACCGGCUAACUACGUG
rnacentral:rRNA from 1 species